UGGGAUAUAGCCAAGUCGGUAAGGCACCAGGUUUUGAUCCUGGCAUGCGUAGGUUCGAGUCCUGCUAUCCCAGCCA
rnacentral:tRNA from 1 species